UGAGAUUUAGGUAACAUUUAAAGUAUUUUAGUAGAUAUUAUAGUAUCCUGCUGUGUUUGUGUAGAGAUGGUCUGUACUCCCCUUGCAUGCCCAGUAUAAAUGACAGGAAGGGAGAAAAGAGAUCAGAAAAAAGGCAGUGUAGAUUAUAUAAGGAAAAGAAGGAAGGAGAGGGGUGCAAUGGCAAAGAAGUAACUUAGGAAAAGUUUUUGCUGUUUCAGAGAUUGACAUAUUUUUAUUGAAAUUCAGCAUUUUACAAAAAAGGUAGAAAAAAUAAGGGAACUUAAAAAAGUUAUAAAUACAGUCUUCUUAUAUACGUACAGAGCCAUAUUUGGUCUGUCCUUACUCUCAGAGUAUAGCCCUGGAUAACUGCACGUUGUGUUUUGGUCUUAUAGGAGAAUUAUCCUGUAGAAGUACUUUCAAUUUUCCUCUUCUGUGUAAUGUUUUGAUGAGAUUUCUGAUGUUUUUUGUGUUUUGCAUUAUAGAUGAAGAAAACAAAGACUACAUUCU
rnacentral:lncRNA from 1 species